rnacentral:miRNA from 1 species
CUUUCCAAUUUCUCGGUCAG